GAAAUGCGAUAAGUAAUGUGAAUUGCAGAAUUCAGUGAAUAAUCGAAUCUUUGAACGCACCUUGCGCUCCUUGGUAUUCCUUGGAGCAUGCCUGUUUGAGUAUCAUGAAAUCUUCAAAGUAAAUCUUUUGUUAACUCAAUUGGUUUCUACUUUGGUAUUGGAGGUCUUUGCAGCUUCACACCUGCUCCUCUUUGUUCAUUAGCUGGAUCUCAGUGUUAUGCUUGGUUCCACUCGGCGUGAUAAGUUAUCUAUCGCUGAGGACACUGUAAAAGGUGGCCAAGGUAAAUGCAGAUGAACCGCUUCUAAUAGUCCAUUGACUUAGACUAUACUUUUAUGAUCUGAUCUCAAAUCAGGUAGGACUACCCGCUGAACUUAAGC
rnacentral:misc_RNA from 1 species